UAAAUAGCCACUACCUCGACUUGGAAAUGAGUCUUACCAUCUUCUGUUACAACUAUUAUGUAUAAAAUGACACAUUACAAGUCGUCGAUGUCACGGAAGUAGUAUUUUCAUUGUAUGAAUCUAUAAACAGUACUUCAAUAAAUAAACCGCUGUUGAUAAGUUUUCAUUUAAGCGAGAGGUGGGAUGAUUUUGACAGUUUUAGUCAUUCAUUGUGCUUCUGAUUCGGGAACCCGCACUAUGACUGUACACUGUAAAAAAAGUCCGUAAAAAUACAGUACAAUAUACCGUAAUAAUUUAAAGGAAUUGUCCGUAUUUUCUUUUUACAGUCGUUUCUCCGUUAUUUUUAAUUACGCUUUGCAUUGUGUAGCUCAGUCUACAAUCGGAGCGAAACCAAUGCUUUUGUAGGCGCCAUUAUUCACGGAGAUACUCUCUGUCAAAAUCUCAUUUUAAAGUCGGAUUUAGGAUUUUGAGAAUGGUUCCUACACUUCCUUUGUUAAUUAUUUUUUGUUUAAUGUAACAAACUGUAUCGUUAACUUUGUUGCUGCCUGGCUUGUUUGGCAAAUGACUGUCGGAGACGUUGCAUUCAACAUUUUCAGCAUACCGUCACAUCUUAACGUUAAUUUACUCGACGUGGAGGAGCAGGCAGAGCAAUUGUCAAGAAAAGAAGACGCCAUUAACGUUACGACUUUUUAUUUAAAAGAGAUUAUAUGAGCAGAAGAUCUGACAUCACAGAGUUCUUCAAGGAUAACACACCUUUUCUGCCAAACGAGGUCAUAAUUGCUGCUGUACUUUGCAUCCCAAGCCCCCCCUGCAUUCUUAUCAUGGAUUGCUAUCACACUAGUUACCAUUUCCUCCCCCGUUGUGGUCGGCCGAGCUACACAUUCUCUUUGUUUUAUUUAAAACAUAAAUAUCCAGAGGAGAAUGGCACCUACGCUGGAGUUCAUUCAAAUUCUUCCUGUUAAGAAAUCCUGACCGAGCGUCAAAGGUUCAGAUGAAGGGAAUCUACGCUUCCAAGACUCAUGACGAACUGGACACUGUUGUAAACAUGUGGAAUAACCACCGAAUCCGACGCAGCAAUCGUCGUGACUUACAACAUGGGAAACCCUUCCUCAUGUAGAACUUUAACCAGAACUUCAUCAAACAAAAGACAAUUUGGAUCCUGUAGAUGCUGAAAGAUUGGAUGUGAUUAUCCAUGAAAAUGUCUGCCUGUGGAAAUCAGACAUACCCUGUGAUCGUGACCUCCAUGACCUCUGUGUUCUUGUUAUGGAGGAGAAUACUCUACUGCCAAUGGCAGCAGCCACAGAGGCAUUGAGACUCUACAAAAACAUCCGACCUCUGGUUAGGGAACUUUUAGGUUAAUAGAUAACAUCCCAUACUCAU